GGUUAAGUGACUAAGCGUACACGGUGGCUGCCUAGGCAGUCAGAGGCGAUGAAGGACGUGCUAAUCUGCGAAAAGCGCCGGUGAGCUGAUAUGAAGCGUUAUUAGCCGACGAUAUCCGAAUGGGAAAACCCGAUGCAACAAAUUGCAUCAUCUUCAAGUAAAUACAUAGCUUGACGAGGCGAACCAGGGGAACUGAAACAUCUCAGUACCUUGAGGAAAAGAAAUCAAUCGAGAUUCCCUUAGUAGCGGCGAGCGAACCGGGAAUAGCCCAGAGCCAUCAUCAGUUUAUACAUCAGAAAAACGGUCUGGAAAGUCCGGCGAAACAGGGUGAUAGCCCCGUAUUUAAAGUUGUAUUUGCUGUGAGCUCAAUUGAGUAGAACGGGACACGUGAUAUCCUGUUUGAAGAUGGGGGGACCAUCCUCCAAGGCUAAAUACUCCUGACUGACCGAUAGUGAACUAGUACCGUGAGGGAAAGGUGAAAAGAACCCCGGUGAGGGGAGUGAAAUAGAACCUAAAACCGUGUACGUACAAACAGUGGGAGCAUCUUUUAGGAUGUGACUGCGUACCUUUUGUAUAAUGGGUCAGCGACUUAUAUUCUGUAGCAAGGUUAACUGUAUAAAGGGAGCCGUAGGGAAACCGAGUCUUAACUGGGCGUUAAGUUGCAGGGUAUAGACCCGAAACCCGGUGAUCUAGCUAUGAGCAGGUUAAAAGUUAGGUAACACUAACUGGAGGACCGAACCAACUAAUGUUGAAAAAUUAGUGGAUGACUUGUGGUUAGGGGUGAAAGGCCAAUCAAACCGGGAGAUAUCUGGUUCUCCCCGAAAGCUAUUUAGGUAGCGUCUUGUAAAUUCAUCUACGGGGGUAGAGCUCUGUUUCGGUUAGGGGUCCAGCCCGGAUUACCAACCCGAUGCAAACUGCGAAUACCGUAGAAUGUUAUUACGGGAGACACACGGCGGGUGCUAACGUCCGUCGUGAAAAGGGAAACAACCCAGACCGCCAGCUAAGGUCCCUAAGUCAUGGUUAAGUGGGAAACGAUGUGGGAAGUCUUAGACAGCCAGGAUGUUGGCUUAGAAGCAGCCAUCAUUUAAAGAAAGCGUAAUAGCUCACUGGUCGAGUCAGCCUGCGCGGAAGAUGUAACGGGGCUAAACCAUGCACCGAAGCUGCGGCAACGAACGUGUUAAUUUAACAUGAUUUUAGAUAAUAAAAUCUAGUUAUAUUAAAGAGAUACGUCUGUUGGGUAGGGGAGCGUUCUGUAAGCCUGAGAAGGUUUACCGUGAGGUAAAUUGGAGGUAUCAGAAGUGCGAAUGCUGACAUAAGUAACGAUAAAGCGGGUGAAAAACCCGCUCGCCGGAAGACUAAGGGUUCCUGUUCAACGUUAAUCGGAGCAGGGUAAGUCGAUACCUAAGGCGAGACCGAAAGGUGUAGUCGAUGGACAACAGGUUAAUAUUCCUGUACUAGGUGUGACUGCGAAGUGGGGACGAAGAAAGCUAGGUUCGCCGGAUAACGGUUAUUCCGGUUCAAGCGUGUAGGUGGAAAAAGUAGGCAAAUCCGCUUUUUCAUAACAUUAAGGCGUGAUAACGAGCCACUACGGUGGUGAAGGAAUUAAUGCUACGCUUCCAGGAAAAGCCUCUAAGCAUCAGGUUACAUCAAAUCGUACCCAAAACCGACACAGGUGGUCAGGUAGAGAAUACCCAGGCGCUUGAGAGAACUCGGGUGAAGGAACUAGGCAAAAUGGUGCCGUAACUUCGGGAGAAGGCACGCUGGUAUGUAAGUAAAGGGACUUGCUCCCAGAGCUGAAGCCAGUCGCAGAUAUCAGCUGGCUGCAACUGUUUAUUAAAAACACAGCACUGUGCAAACACGAAAGUGGACGUAUACGGUGUGACGCCUGCCCGGUGCCGGAAGGUUAAUUGAUGGGGUUAUCCUUAAAUGGAAAAGCUCUUGAUUGAAGCCCCGGUAAACGGCGGCCGUAACUAUAACGGUCCUAAGGUAGCGAAACUCCUUGUCGGGUAAGUUCCGACCUGCACGAAUGGCGUAAUGAUGGCCAGGCUGUCUCCACCCGAGACUCAGUGAAAUUGAAUUCACCGUGAAGAUGCGGUGUACCCGCGGCAAGACGGAAAGACCCCGUGAACCUUUACUAUAACUUGACACUGAAUAUUGAAUCUUAAUGUGUAGAAUAGGUGGGAGGCUUUGAAGUGUAGACGUCAGUCUACAUGGAGCCAACCUUGAAAUACCACCCUUUAAUGUUUGAUGUUCUAACUCAGGCUCGUAAUCCGGGUCGAGGACAGUGUCUGGUGGGUAGUUUGACUGGGGCGGUCUCCUCCUAAAAGGUAACGGAGGAGCACAAAGGUUAGCUAAUCACGGUCGGACAUCGUGAGGUUAGUGCAAAGGCAUAAGCUAGCUUAACUGCGAGAGUGACAGCUCGAGCAGAUGCGAAAGCAGGUCUUAGUGAUCCGGUGGUUCUGCAUGGAAUGGCCAUCGCUCAACGAAUAAAAGGUACUCCGGGGAUAACAGGCUGAUACCGCCCAAGAGUUCAUAUCGACGGCGGUGUUUGGCACCUCGAUGUCGGCUCAUCACAUCCUGGGGCUGAAGCAGGUCCCAAGGGUAUGGCUGUUCGCCAUUUAAAGUGGUACGCGAGCUGGGUUUAGAACGUCGUGAGACAGUUCGGUCCCUAUCUGCCGUGGGCGUUGGAAGAUUGAGAGGGGCUACUCCUAGUACGAGAGGACUGGAGUGGACGCACCACUGGUGUUCAGGUUGUCAUGCCCAUGGCAUUGCCAGGUAGCUAAGUGCGGAAAAGAUAACCGCUGAAAGCAUCUAAGCGGGAAACUUGCCUCAAGAUGAGUCUUCCCUGAGGAUUUAAGCCUCCUAAAGGGACGUUAAAGACGAUAACGUUGAUAGGUCGGGUGUGUACACGCUGCGAGGCGUUGAGCUAACCGAUACUAAUGACCCGUGAGACUUAACCUU
rfam:Enterobacteriaceae bacterium symbiont of Trionymus perrisii isolate HETPER genome assembly, chromosome: I